rnacentral:lncRNA from 1 species
GAAGCAACCCAGGAACCCAUCAGCACACGGCGGAUAAAGGAAAUGUAAUAUACAUAUCAUGGAGUAUCGGCCUUCAAAAGGACUGAGAUUUUGACAUGGAGAGUUCUUAAAGACAUUAUGCUAAGUGAAAUAUGCUAAUGUGAAGGGUUACAGGAACUACUCCAAGGAGAUGCUGGGAAGUAGCCUGGGAAUGGCCAUCCCUCUCCCAUCAUUUCUCUUCCCUCAAUCCUGCUUCAGCUUCUGUCAGCCUGUGAAGGUCCUGCAGAGUGAGGUUAAGCCUUUUGUAAAAGAAAUCGCACAUCCUAAGUUCGAAGCCUGGACCUGGCCAACAUCUCAGCAAGAUGAAAGCCUUGGCCCUUACAAAUGGCUUUUGUCUCAGCCUCGAAACCCUCAUGUGACACCCUGAGAUCGCACCUGACUGACCAUCUCAAAAAAGAACCAGAACAAUCUCCUUGUGCUUUCCCUGAGCUGGUGAAGCUGGUAAAAAUCACUGAAAAUGAGGAAAGUAAAUUAACACAAGGAAGAAGCAGGACAAGGGGGAUUCUGUCCUCCUGACUACUGAGUUAACUGCAAUGAAAACAAAGUACAAAGGACUGCUAGUUCUGUGCAUAUAUUUACAUAGAAAUGUGCAAUUUUUUUUAAAAGGGGCCUUCCUGGUGUUUCUUUACUUAUGGGUUUAAUUUUUUAUCUCCUCAAUGUCCACCAGGAGGGCUCUGUUAAUAUUUACGUCGUGGGCCUUCCUGAGGAUGAGUUCAUUUCAGUCAUUGCUAAUCAACAGCCUUACUAUGAUGUCUUCUUUAUCCUGUAACAUUCCUAUUAUCCCUAACUCUUCAAAAAUACUCUUAGGAUAUUUUAGCAAGUGCCCUCUUCACCUUUUAAAGAGUUGUCUCCAGAUUGUUCAUAUUUGAAUAGCAUUUUAAAAACAAAUAUCAAUUGCC